rnacentral:rRNA from 1 species
GACGAACGCUGGCGGCGUGCCUAAUACAUGCAAGUAGAACGCUGAAGGAGGAGCUUGCUUCUCUGGAUGAGUUGCGAACGGGUGAGUAACGCGUAGGUAACCUGCCUGGUAGCGGGGGAUAACUAUUGGAAACGAUAGCUAAUACCGCAUAAGAGUAGAUGUUGCAUGACAUUUACUUAAAAGGUGCAAUUGCAUCACUACCAGAUGGACCUGCGUUGUAUUAGCUAGUUGGUGGGGUAACGGCUCACCAAGGCGACGAUACAUAGCCGACCUGAGAGGGUGAUCGGCCACACUGGGACUGAGACACGGCCCAGACUCCUACGGGAGGCAGCAGUAGGGAAUCUUCGGCAAUGGACGGAAGUCUGACCGAGCAACGCCGCGUGAGUGAAGAAGGGUGUCGGAUCGGAAAGCUCUGUUGUAAGAGAAGAACGAGUGUGAGAGUGGAAAGUUCACACUGUGACGGUAGCUUACCAGAAAGGGACGGCUAACUACGUG